AUUGAACGCUGGCGGCAGGCCUAACACAUGCAAGUCGAGCGAGCGGCGGACGGGUGAGUAAUGUAUGGGGACUGCCCGAUAGAGGGGGAUAACUACUGGAAACGGUGGCUAAAACCGCAUACUAUCGGAUAACCCAUAUGGGAUUAGCUAGUAGGUGGGGUAAAGGCUUACCUAGGCGACGAUCUCUAGCUGGUCUGAGCGGAUGAUCAGCCCAACGGGGAUUGAGACACGGCCCAGACUCCGACGGAGGCAGCAGUGGGGAAUAUUGCACAAUGGGCGCAAGGCUGAUGCAGCCAUGCCGCGUGUAUGAAGAAGGCCUUAGGGUUGUAAAGUUCUUUCAGCGGGUAGGCGUUACGCGCAGAAGAAGCACCGGCUAACUCCGUGCCAGCCGCCGCGGUAAUUC
rnacentral:rRNA from 1 species